rnacentral:lncRNA from 1 species
AUUUACAAGAGAUACCUUUACAUUGAUAUGAUUAAUUAACUAUUCACAACGUUUGGCGCCAAAAGUUACUAAAUCCCAUCGCUUAAAAACUUUCGGAAAUACGAGGAAAAAGUUAAAAACAGAUUUUUAAUUAAAGAUAAUUGAUAAUUCACUCAAAAAUUUAAAAAAAUGGAAACCUUCAGCACAAAUGCGCUUGGGCGAACAGUUAAGUUUUUCGGAAAAAAUCCUUAGAUUUCCUUAGAUUUUUUCUCUUCCUUAGAUUUUCCUUUUCGACAGUAGAAUUUCCUUAGAAAAGGAAAUUUCCUUGAAAAUGGAAGCACUGGCGGAAGCUCUUGAAGUCGUGCUUCCACUAUGCAAAAGCAAAUUCGCGUUUAUUGAAGUGUGGGACAAUCCCACUGAGGACAAUACUAACCUGCGAACGGGCACGCUCUGGGAACGAGGCUAUUAAUUGGCUACGACUCGAUAGAGCACAUUUUCAACAUAUUCACCUCACUUUUUGAAGUAUUAAGUUUUCUAUUUAAAUUCACAUGUUCGAUAAUUCCAUAUCCAAACAGCUCAAUUUUUGGCUUUUUUGCCCACCGAAUGCAACAAAGCAAACAAUUUGAAGAUUCAUUCAUGGGGAAGGGGUGUUUCACCCCCUCUGGUGUCACCCCUGUCAUAUUGGCCUCAAAUUUCAAAAUUUUAAUGGUGUUUGUACGGAAACCUUUUUUUGGAUACGUCCCGGAAAAUUGUUUUCCCGCUCAUCAACAUUUUUGCCCUGGGUCCCCGAAUUUCUCUGUGCGGCCCUGUGUCUCCAGUAUGUAAUCUUUUAUGUUUCCCUAAAUUACCCAUUUGAGAAAAUCUCUUGUUGCAAACAUCACAUUCAUAAGGUUUCUCUCCAGUAUGUGUUCGUUUAUGUUUCCUUAAAUUGCUCAUUUGAGAAAAUCUCUUGUUGCAAACAUCACAUUCAUAAGGCUUGUCUCCAGUGUGUGUUCUUUCAUGAGUCCUUAAAAUGCACAUAUGAAGAAAUCUCUUGUUGCAAACAUCACAUUCAUAAGGCUUGUCUCCAGUAUGUGUCCUUUUAUGUGUCCUUAAAUAGUCCAUUUGAGAAAAUCUCUUGUUGCAAACAUCACAUUCAUAAGGUUUGUCUCCAGUAUGUGUUAUUUUAUGUGUCCUUAAACUGCCCAUUUGAGAAAAUCUCUUGUUGCAAACAUCACAUCCAUAAGGUUUGUCUCCAGUAUGUGUCCUUUUAUGUGUCCUUAAAUGGCCCAUUUGAGAAAAUCUCUUGUUGCAAACAUCACAUUCAUAAGGUUUGUCUCCAGUGUGUGUUCUUUCAUGCAUUGCCAAAGCGCUUCUGCAUGAAAAUAUCUUGUCACAGAACUCACAUUUCACAGGCAUGGCUUUUCUCUGACACCGUCGCUCGGGCGGCGAAACGUCGAUGAAAAAUGUCACACAAUUGAACCCUUGAAUCUUUGCUUUCCAAAUCUUUAUAAUACUUUUCUUAUAUCCGAGUUAUGUUGACAUAAAAACGAACUAAAUAAAGUCACAAUUCAGAACUACCACAUCAG